AGCGAACGCUGGCGGCAGGCCUAACACAUGCAAGUCGAACGAACCUUUCGGGGUUAGUGGCGGACGGGUGAGUAACACGUGGGAACGUGCCUUUAGGUUCGGAAUAACUCAGGGAAACUUGUGCUAAUACCGAAUGUGCCCUUCGGGGGAAAGAUUAAUCGCCUUUAGAGCGGCCCGCGUCUGAUUAGCUAGUUGGUUGAGGUAAUGGCUCACCAAGGCGACGAUCAGUAGCUGGUCUGAGAGGAUGAUCAGCCACAUUGGGACUGAGACACGGCCCAAACUCAUACGGGAGGAAGAAGGGGGGAAUCUGGCGAAAGGGGAGAAAGCCGGACGAAGCAAUGCGGGGGGAAUAAGGAGGGUUUAGGGAUUGAAAAAUUCUUUCACCGGGGAGAAUAAGGAGGGAACCGGAAGAAGAACCCCCGGCAAACUUCGUG
rnacentral:rRNA from 1 species